CCGCAGCCGAGACGGCUUCUGGUUACUCCCGUUCCCACCCUAUCCCUUAAUUUUAUUUUUCUGAAGAAUCUGCAGUUCAAGCUAUCAAGGUGGAGAGAGCAAUUACAGAAAGACGUGUUCAUUGUUUCAGGUAUUUUACCUACUAGGUGUUAACAGGAGAACCAUUUUGAUUGAAGAGCUAAAACGAUAGGAUAGAGCUUAAUCCUUAAGCACAUGGCAUUUAAAUCAACAGGAACAAUCUGUAUUCCUUUACAAAUUUAAUUUAAAUCUCAGGGAAUAUUCACUAGACGGUCUUAAGUUUGUAUUACCCUGUGUUACAUGAGAGGAAAAUCUAUUAAAGUGAGUUUAUAUUUUCUUAAGAUUCUGACCUUUGGCACAACAGUAGGCAGAAUAACUCAUAACAGUAUGCAUUAUUUUAAAUAUAUCUUAAUUAAGAUAAUAUAAGUUUAUAUUUUAAACUGGAGAAGUAGUAUCUACUUUUUGGUCUAUAGUUUACUUUUGAUUGUUAACACAUAAUGCUUAGAAUACACUAGAGUUCUCUGUCUUGGAACAAUGUGUAUUUUUAAUACAGCUUAUUAGAAUUCUUGCAACUCUGAAGGGAGAGUUCUGGUAUAUAAUACUAUCAACAUUGAGUGCAACAUUGAGUGCAUCUAAUGGCAAUAGUUAUCAGAAAGAUAAAAGAUUCAAAAAUAUUAUGCACUAUGAGAUUAGGUUGGUAAAUUAAGCCUACAAAGUCUGUUUUGGUACAUAAAAGUUUUAUUGGAACACCCACCCAUUCUUUCAUCUGUUGUUAUGCUAUAACUACAGAGUUGAAUAGUUGCAACAGAAUCUGUAUAACCAACAAAGCAAGCAUUCUUACUGUAUGGUCUUAAAUAUUUACCAACCUUUGCCAUGGAAGGGUUCCUAAAGAUGUUUCUAAAGAUCCCUUCCUUAAAAGUGUACAUACAAACUCAUUAUUUCUUACCCUACUAAUUCCCAGAUAAUUU
rnacentral:lncRNA from 1 species